rnacentral:tRNA from 1 species
AGAAAUGUGCCCGAAACAAAUAGGGGCUAUUUUGAUAAAAUAGACAUAGAGCACACGCCCUCUCAUUUCCA